rnacentral:rRNA from 1 species
CAGUAGCCACGGUAAUACGAGGGGGGCAAGCGUUGUUCGGAAUUAUUGGGCGUAAAGGGCUCGCAGGCGGUUUCUUAAGUCUGAUGUGAAAGCCCCCGGCUCAACCGGGGAGGGUCAUUGGAAACUGGGAAACUUGAGUGCAGAAGAGGAGAGUGGAAUUCCACGUGUAGCGGUGAAAUGCGUAGAGAUGUGGAGGAACACCAGUGGCGAAGGCGACUCUCUGGUCUGUAACUGACGCUGAGGAGCGAAAGCGUGGGGAGCGAACAGGAUUAGAUACCCCCGUAGUCCCUGUCUCUUAUAC